UAAUGACCUGUAGUAAAUAAAAGCCCCCCAUUGGCAAGUACUACAGCAAUCAUAAUGAGAAUAUGUGUUUUUAUUGAUUAUUGGUGAUUUCUUUCCUGCAAAAUUCCAUGGUAACGUCUAUGUCACCAGUCCGUGGGGUGUAAUUUGUGGACGGUCCCUAAAACAGAUAGCAGCCGGACCGUAGAUUACAGCGCUGUUCUUGCACAGAUAUCGAUAGCAACAACUCAUUUCGGUGUGAUUCUUUGUCAAUACGCUGUCCUAUACUGUCCUCAACAUACUACACCCGUAAUAUAGUGCAAUUGUGUUGAUUAAGCCGGAUGAAUCCGAUUGCAAAACUGAAUAUCCGGCGAAUAUCCAACCUGCUGCUAACUUUUACCCGCUUAUGUUCUGCUCCAUGUAUCCAUGUUGAUGUUGACAACGUGACUUGACAUGGCUAAGCUACCAACAGAGGAGCUAGGAAAGGAAAUGAACUGCGUGUUCAAGUUCAGAAGGGGCAAACGUGUGGCUAUACUACACACAGCACUACAAAAGUCGUCAAGAUUGUAUUUGGUGCUGCUUAGUGUGAGAGAGAGAGCGAGAGAGAUGGGGAGAGAGAGGCCUGAUUCAGAAAUUAACAAAUGCCAGUGACAGUAAAGGUGUUGGCAAGCUGUAACAAAUAUGCAUUAGCAACCUUUGCUGUUUAGGGUAACUAGGCUUGGAGGUAUGGAGAGCGAAAGAGAGGAGAAGAGCAAGGGAUUGGGAGUAGGAGAAGGGAGGUAAGGAUGAUAGUAGAAUCUCAUGUUAGCCAGGCCUGCCUCAAAAUUGGUUCUGUGUCGCACACACACACUUGUAUAUGUCACCAUGGGUAAAUCUUUCACAUGCACUGUAGGCCUACGAAGUGCACACCCAUUCUCAGCACUCCAUUUUAGGAACUAUCAAUGUUGUACAUUGUAACAACAAGCCUGCGUGAAGUUUUAACUUGUCUCUCAUGAUGUUAGUGCUGCUUGUGUUAUUUCACAGUCGUCAUGAGCAAGAGGAAGCAAGAGGGUUGCAGAGACAUUCGGCAAUGUUUUGCCUCGUCUCAGAAAAGAAGCAAAAAUAAAGAGAGUGAAGCACAGAGAGCAAGAACGUUUGGAGGAUGAAAGCAGUGUGUGUCAAUCUGUUAGUGACAUAGAGGUGAGUAGCCUAAGAGAGGAGUUCUGGAAACUAGUAGAGCCUUGGCUUUUCCUAUGUUCAAUGCAAUUUGUAAGUUACUUUGGAUAAAAGCGUUUGCAAAAUAAUUGUCAAAGAGUAAAUAUUAAUGGUUUAAACCGAAUUGUGACAUUAGAGCAGAAUUCUGUUGGCAGUGGCACUGAUGUCUAUAGUGUGUAUCAGUAGUCUACUGGUAAAUAGUUUGCUGAUAUCUGUGAUAUUAUUCCUUCCAUGUUUCCUCUGUUGUGUUCACAGUAGAGCUAGUAAGCCAGCGGGAGAGACAGAAAGUUUGGAGGAUGAAAGCACAGGGAGAGUUUGUCAAUCUAGUGGUGGCAUAGAGAUGAGUCGCCUAAGAGAGGAGUAAAUAUGAAAGGUUAAGACCGAAUCAUGACAUUCAAGCAGAAUCCUGUUAGCACACAUGUAUAUAGUGUAGGGUGGUCAAAAAAAUUUAUACUCAGAUACUAAUCGAUUCAAAUUAAAAAACAUGAUAUCGGAUUAGAUACUUGACACACAACUUUACACAGCAGCGUUGCAGUUGCAAAUAUAGCAAUAUAAUAAUUAUUAAGUCAAGUCUCAUUCAAAGUUACAAAACAUUGUAUAAUGUAUGUAUUCAUAGAUUAAUCCAUAACUAAUCAGAAAACAUUUAGGUUAUGUCCUUGACAUGUCUAAUUCUUUAACAGUGCAUCAAUCAAUACGGCUAAUGGUUUCACCAUGAGAUUAGCUCAGUGCGCUCUCGUGAAACUCAUCUAUGUACUUAUUAAACAAGUGGUUGAAAAUAUCAGAAAAUCUAUGUUUUCUGAGGGGUAACAAAAGUUUUGGUGGGACUUCUAUUUAGGUCCAUGAGAUAGAUGCACCUGGGUGGGUUUUACUCAGCAUUGGCAAAUGUGAUGGUUAUGCAAUAAAAAAUGUAAUGGAAGUAAGAACUGGCUGGAUUUUGUGUCCUUGUUGUGGUGGUGUAGGUGUUUGUUUGUGUGUGUUUUGUAAAAAAAAAAAAAAAAACA